rnacentral:lncRNA from 1 species
AAUUAUUACCUCUUCCUGUAACUGGUCAGACAUGUCUACAAUGCCUUCUAAAUUUUCCUUUUGGCUUUUUUCGUUAACUUUUUUUAGUUUUGGUGCAAUAUAUAUUCCUAUUAUGGCUAUGGAUUCAUGCUUUGAUUCUGUUAAGGUUUCAGAUGUCUUCAUCCAACCUCUAUCUUCGUAAAAAAACAUAUGCCCAUGAAAGAUGACAUUUUUAGAUA